UUACGUGGCAAGUCCACUAAAUGAAAGCACCAUUGACAUGAGUAUAGAGAUUGGAAGAGAGGAGACAGUUGGUGAUGGUGUAGAUGAAGAGGAAGAGGUGGAUGUGAACAUUUUAAUUGAGAAAGAGGUAUUAACAUCAAUACAAAACUGGCUGUUAUAUAGACAUCUUCUGAAAAUUGAAAUAUAUAAACUGUCAGCAGAAUGUUUUCUCUCUACAUCUUUAAAGUGCAGUACUGUGAUAACAAAUUGGCAAAAUGGCUGACCAGUCCACAAAAGUAUUACUGAAUCUUUGAAAAGUGGAAACAACUGGUAACAUUCAAUUAAUGUAGUAAUUAACUUUGCUUUAUAUGUGAACUCAACCAGCAUUGUCUGUGUGAAUAGA